rnacentral:rRNA from 1 species
GACGAACGCUGGCGGCGUGCUUAACACAUGCAAGUCGAGCGGAAAGGCCCUGCGUUUGUUGGGUGCUCGAGUGCCGAACGGGUGUGUAACACGUGAGUAACCUGCCCUUGACUUUGGGAUAACUUCAGGAAACUGGGGCUCAUACCGGAUAGAAGCUCCUGCUGCAUGGGGGGGGUUGGAAAGUGUCGGCGGUGGGGGAUGGACUCGCGGCUUAUCAGCUUGUUGGUGGGGUAGUGGCUUACGAAGGGUUUGACGGGUAGCCGGCAUGAGAGCGUGACCGGGCACAUUGGGACUGAGAGACGGCGCAGAAUCCUACGGGAGGCAGCAGUGGGGAAUUUGACAGAACGGGGGGAAGUCUGAUGCGGCAACGUCGCGUGCGUGAUGCUGGCUUUUGGGUUGUAAACCGCUUUCGCAUGUGACGAAGAGGGAGUGACGGUAAUGGGUAAAGAAGCACCGGCUAACUACGUG